AGGGGAAUCGCCAAGCUGGUUAAGGCACUGGAUUUUGAUUCCAGCAUACCAAGGUUCGACUCCUUGUUCCCCUGCCA
rnacentral:tRNA from 1 species